UUUCUACUCCCUCCGUCCGAAAAUACUUGUCAUCAAAAUGGAUAAAAAUAGAUGUAUCUAAAACUAAAAUACGUCUAGAUACAUUUCCUUUUAUCCAUUUUGAUGACAACUAUUUCCGGACGGAGGGAGUAUUUG
rnacentral:pre_miRNA from 1 species